GAUGAACGCUGGCGGCAUGCCUAAUACAUGCAAGUCGAACGGAAAGACGAGGAGCUUGCUCCCCUGGCGUUAGCGACGGGCGGGUGAGUCACACGUGGAUAACCUAUCUCUAGGACUGGGACAACUUCGGGAAACCUGAGACCCUACCGGAUAAUAUGUUGAACCGCGUGGUUCGAUAGUGAAAGACGGUUUUGCUGGCACUUAUACAUGGAACCGCGCCGCUUUAGCUAGUUGGUAGGGUAACGGCUUACCAAGGCAACGAUGCGUAGCCGACCUGAGAGGAUGACCGGCCACACUGGAACUGAGACACGGCCCAGACUCCUACGGGAGGCAGCAGUGGGGAAUCUUGGACAAUGGGCGAAAGCCUGACGGAGCCACGCCGCGUGGGGGAAGAAGGCCUUCGGGUCGUAAAACUCUUUUGUUAGGGAAGAACAACUGUGGAAGAAACUAUGCGCGUGAUGACGGUACCGGAAGAGAAAGCACCGGCUAACUACGUG
rnacentral:rRNA from 1 species